AUGGUCUUGUGGCUAAACUUGGUGUCCUUUUUGGCAGUCCUCAGAGGAGCUCAGUCUGAGGUCCAGUUGGUGGAGUCUGGAGGGGAUGUGAGAAGGCCUGGAGAGUCCCUCCGCCUCUCCUGCCAAGCCUCCGGAUUCACUUUCAGCAGUUACGGCAUGAACUGGUUCAGACAGGCUCCAGGGAAAGGCCUGGAGUGGGUAGCCCACAUAAAUCCAAGUUCCAGUACUUACCACUCGGACAAAGUGAAGGGAUACUUCACCAUCUCCAGGGACAACUCCAAAAGCCAAGUAUACCUGCAAAUGAACAGCCUGAAGCCGGAGGACUCGGCAGUCUAUUAUUGUGUGGGAGACACAGUGAGAGGAAGUGAAUCUGAAGCCCAGCAAAAACUUUCCCUUCCUCAGAAGUACUAUCCAAGUUGA